GACGGUUAGUUAUCGAUCGGUCAUGUGACUCAACAUGGCGCCAUCAAGAGGAAUAAUCUCGCACAUAAACAAAACAGCUUUGGUCUUCAGUCUUCACUUAUUCAUAGCAUCUCUCUGCCUUGCUGCAUGAAUCAUGGGUAGGAGUGCAGGGGAGCGGAGAGAACGCCGCACUGUGAAGAUCGCCCAUGGCACACCUGUUUUAACUCGGUGCUAUCCAUCAUAGAGCCACUGCCCGCUGCAGGCCAGACGAGACAGCUGUCCUUCAGGUCCUCUCCUCGUCUGCGCAUCUGCCCUGCAACAGGUGAGAAGAACAUGUAACGCUAUAUGUAGGACACUGACCCAAACUGCUUGACCUCUGGUAAGGGCGGUCAAAGGUCAACUCACUUGACAUCUCUGCCCACAUCUUACUGAUGAGCACACUCGGACCCAUCGGAUGAGUGCUUCAGCACACAUCUGUGCGUGUGAGACAAACAAUAUCAAGUGCGGGCGUAAAAUGACACAUGGAAGUAAUCUGUUCAUCUCUGCUCUGGGCAAGAGGCAUUUUUAAUUUCACUGGAGGAUAAAAAGCCAGCGGCAGAGCUCCAUCCAUUUUGUACGGUGCCUUAAUUUCACACAGCCCACAGAAAAAUUGGCAGUCGAUUUGUUUUUUGAAGAUCCCUCCAUUGAUAGUAAUUAAAUUUGCUCUUGUCUCUCGUUUUUUUCUCUUUUCUCCAUAUCUCCUCCUCUCUUCCCCAUCUGUAUGCCUCUACUCCCUCUUCUCAUUCUCAUUCGCCAUCAUCCCUCACUGUCACGCGGCCGCUCCGAGCCAUCGACCUCUGCUCUCAGCCCCGGUUCAGCAGCGGGUCACCGGAGGGAGGGGGGCUCGUGUUAUUGGGGGGUGCCAGCUUCCUUCCCUCGCCACAGAUACAGCUGCUGCUGCCAUGGCAACUGGAUUGCAGACUGCGCAAGGACCCGCGUGCAGAUACUUGCAGAGACUUACAGAGAAAGACGCUCUAAUGGUGUGUUACAGGGCCCCGUUGUGCUUUAAAGCAGGUUUAACCGCGUAAGUGAAAAUGAUGUGGGACAACCUUAGGCAAUGACUUUUAUGUUUUAUUUGCUGCUCAGUACAGUCUAUUCCGAUAGGGUUUAGGUUUGGGAACAUUCCUUUCCUUUAUGGGAUCGGAACAGAGUUUGGUUGGUAAUUGUUGGAUUGUAAUCUAAUAUUAGUUAUGUCAUGUGGUUCUUGGUUUGAUUUUAGGGAUGCACUGUUAUUUCAACUCUGGCCUAUACCAGUUGAUAAUAAUUUUUAUGUUGUUGUGAUGAUAACUGACAAAUUGCCAAUAUUAAAAUCUA